UGUUACGUGAAAAAUCACGUAGAUUCAUCCAAAUUCAUUUUGCCUUGACUUUACCUGACUAAGGUAAUGAUCACCUGACCAAAUAUAAUCACAAAAUUGAGACCCGGCAGUUUCCACUGUGGUGAGCUAAUCACUCUUACGUAAAAAUCACGUAGACACUUAUUCAUUCUGACAUGAGCUCUGACAUCUAGACUUUGUGUUCAUUCUGUAUUGUGCUCGUUUAUGAAGAUGGUGCUCAGUUAGUUUGCCGAAUAAUUUCAAUCGCUCGAUUCCAAGGUAUACAUUUUGGCAAUAUUUUGCGAAACGGUAAGCAGGAAGACCUUUUCGUAAACUUCAAGAACGUAACAGUUUUGGAAUAAUCUGGCAGCGGAUGAAUUGUUUUGUCAAAAGCAAAUCGUGCGUUUGAAUGUUCGAUUGCUACUGGACUAUAUCGUCGAUCCUUGUACUGCGACUUGCAAGAUCAAAGCACAUACGGCAGCAGGAAAUCAUGCAGUGUUUCCAUUCAGCUACCACCUACAAUGCUAUAUUGACUAAAGUGAUAGUAUCAUCCAUGCUUUUAA